rnacentral:rRNA from 1 species
GAUGAACGCUAGCGGCAGGCCUAAUACAUGCAAGUCGAACGGUGUCUUCGGACAUAGUGGCGCACGGGUGCGUAACACGUAUGCAACCUACCUUACACUGGGGGAUAGCCUUUCGAAAGGGAGAUUAAUACCGCAUAAGACAGUAGCUGGGCAUCCAGCAGCUGUUAAAGAUUUAUCGAUGUAAGAUGGGCAUGCGUCCAAUUAGUUAGUUGGCGAGGUAACGGUUCACCAAGACUUUGAUUGGUAGGGGAACUGAGAGGUCAAUCCCCCACACUGGCACUGAGAUACGGGCCAGACUCCUACGGGAGGCAGCAGUAGGGAAUAUUGGGCAAUGGACGCAAGUCUGACCCAGCCAUGCCGCGUGCAGGAUGAAGGCGUUAUGCGUUGUAAACUGCUUUUAUACAGGAAGAAACGACUCUUGCGAGAGGCAUUGACGGUACUGUAUGAAUAAGCACCGGCUAACUCCGUGCCAGCCGCCGCAGUAAUAC